rnacentral:lncRNA from 1 species
GGGGGGGAAAAAAUCACGUCCCUUUCCCAGGCUAUUUUAGCUAAUACCUGCUGCAACUGUAAGUUCACUCAUAAGAAACAAUCUCAGCAUCAAAUACUAAAGCAUUUCCAGGGAAAUCUGUAAGUUCUGCACUUACURCACUCAAUCUUUUUUGUUCAUCCCAUCAGCUGCUACUAUAUAAUUAAUAACAGAUUAAAAAAAAUAAUGCACAAUUCCUACCACUGCUAACAGAGAAGCAUCAUAAGACAUCCACCAGUUCAAACCAAGUGAUGCACGGUGCCCGUUUACCUGUUAUAUUUAAAUUUCAAGCUGAGGUGGUUUCUUUUUUCCUUGAUAAAACUGAAAAACAUCCCACUUUCCAGCUGCUGCCCGCUCACAUUUCCGCACCUUUUGUGGCACCACAGGCUCACCCAGGCCUUCUCUUCAAGGCCUUUUCUGUCCUCCCCCUUGCAUUCACCCUCCGCUUUUACCCUGGCAGCUCCCCAAGCGUGCUGCCACGCAAAUCCCCUAUUACUGACCACCCACGGCCUCUCUGAGCCCUGGGAAUGCAGGAGGGAAUGUAGUUCCCUGCGCCCAGCCCUGCUCCCAGGGCAGCCAGCGCACGCGGGCACGCACUCACGCAUGCCUUCAGGCACACACAGACUCAUGCAAGCAGGCACUGAUGCACACACUCACGCAGGCACACAUGCAUGCACUCACUCACACACGCAAGCAGGCACCACUUAUUACGCCCUCCCCCCCCCACUACUAAUUACGAGACGCACGGCCACUGUUUCGAGCAUGGGGGGAGGUGAGGGGGGGAAAAAAUCACGUCCCUUUCCCAGGCUAUUUUAGCUAAUACCUGCUGCAACUGUAAGUUUGCUCAUAAAAAACAAUCUUAGCAUCAAAUAUUAAAGCAUUUCCAGGGCAAUCUGUAAGUUCUGCACAAUCUUUUUUGUUCAUCCCAUCAGCUGCUACUAUAUAAUUAAUAACAGAUUAAAAAAAAUAAUGCACAAUUCCUACCACUGCUAACAGAGAAGCAUCAUAAGACAUCCACCAGUUCAAACCAAGUGAUGCACGGUGCCCGUUUACCUGUUAUAUUUAAAUUUCAAGCUGAGGUGGUUUCUUUUUUCCUUGAUAAAACUGAAAAACAUCCCACUUUCCAGCUGCUGCCCGCUCACAUUUCCGCACCUUUUGUGGCACCACAGGCUCACCCAGGCCUUCUCUUCAAGGCCUUUUCUGUCCUCCCCCUUGCAUUCACCCUCCGCUUUUACCCUGGCAGCUCCCCAAAGAGCGCUGCCACGCAAAUCCCCUAUUACUGACCACCCACGGCCUCUCUGAGCCCUGGGAAUGCAGGAGGGAAUGUAGUUCCCUGCGCCCAGCCCUGCUCCCAGGGCAGCCAGCGCACGCGGGCACGCACUCACGCAUGCCUUCAGGCACACACAGACUCAUGCAAGCAGGCACUGAUGCACACACUCACGCAGGCACACAUGCAUGCACUCACUCACACACGCAAGCAGGCACCACUUAUUACGCCCUCCCCCCCCCACUACUAAUUACACCCCCCACCACUUAUUAUGCCACCCUAUCUAGUUGGUAUACCCCCAACCCCCCUGCAGUUCUUAAGCACCCCACCACUUAUUAUGUACCUUAACCACUAUCRAUAGGUCCGGAAUUCGACAGGCAUUGCUGCCACUCCAUCUUGAGAUGGAUCCAUGUCGAUAGCCUUCGAUGCCUACCCAGGGCAAACUGGGCUCCAGCGCAAAAGCCAUAGAUGCCUGUCGAGAGCGAGAUAUCCAUGGCGCUCGGCAGGCAUCCGUAUCUUCAGCUACCAAUACCUAUGGAGACCUAAGUGGUACGAUCCCUAUGAGUAGGUAUGGAAAGAGAUGGGCCUCGGUGCCUUGCAGCACAAAUCAGAGUGCUUAGAGGCACUGAAAGUGCAACGUGCAUGGAAGAACAGAGAAUGUUUUCGACAUAACCUUCAUUUUUCUGUGCAUUUUAUUACAGCUUAAAACACAUCUGUAAUUCAGAUCAGAUGCCUAUUCCACUUUCAACUGGCCCRUUACAAGCAUUGCUAUCUCCAAAAAGCGUGAGGCUCCAGCAGCCAGAGGUCUGUACUCUCAAUCCUUGCGAGACAGCACCAGCACAGUACACACAGCGGGAGUGAGGUGAGAACUUAGAAGAAAAGGAGGAGAAAGAAGAAUGAGAAAUUCAGAAUGAUAGCUACCAAGCAGAGGAGAAUUGGAAAGCCAAGUGCAAGCACUGCGGCUGCAGGCUGGAAAAAGCAAGAACAGCUAUUUAGCUGACUCCUCAGCUGCAAAAUUUGAAGUGGCAUCUUGCAGUGUAUAUUUAGCAAGCAGUAAUCUCAGGAUUAUACAGAGGGAAGGAUAUAAGCACAGUCCCAUCUAUCAGCCUAAAAUAUUACUAUGAGUGAUUUUUCUGAAGUGCUCACUUACUGUGGGGACAAGAUACAAAGCAUUUUGCAUUUAAUUCUAAUAAUAAUAAGUUCUAAUAAGUGCUGAGUGCAGAUUUCCAGCUGAAACCACUGGCUCCUUAAAGUCAGACACAAACUGUAUCGCUUUGGACUCAAAAAAUACAUAUAAUAAAAUUAGGAAACGCCCCUGCA